GACGAACGCUGGCGGCGUGCUUAACACAUGCAAGUCGAACGGUAAGGCCCUUCGGGGUACACGAGUGGCGAACGGGUGAGUAACACGUGGGUGAUCUGCCCUGCACUUCGGGAUAAGCCUGGGGAACUGGGUCUAAUACCGGAUAGGACUCCUGGCUCCAUGGUUGGGGGUGGAAAGCUUUUGCGGUGUGGGAUGGGCCCGCGGCCUAUCAGCUUGUUGGUGGGGUAAUGGCCUACCAAGGCGACGACGGGUAGCCGGCCUGAGAGGGUGACCGGUCACACUGGGACUGAGAUACGGCCCAGACUCCUACGGGAGGCAGCAGUGGGGAAUAUUGCACAAUGGGCGCAAGCCUGAUGCAGCGACGCCGCGUGAGGGAUGACGGCCUUCGGGUUGUAAACCUCUUUCAGCUAUGACGAAGCGCAAGUGACGGUAGUAGCAGAAGAAGGACCGGCCAACUUCGUGCCAGCCGCCGCUGUAA
rnacentral:rRNA from 1 species